UUAACAACUGCCAUUUGAGCUGUAGUGGCACAUCUAGCUGAAGGAAAAGAUUGAGCACACAAUAGAUCCAGUAAACUAUUCAGGAAGCAUCUAUAAUUCACAUGUUCCCCUACAGCCUGCUACUUGAAAUUGUGGCUUCACAGUAUUUCUCAUCACAUGAGCAUUUAAGGUAUUUUGGAAGACUGUUGUAACUAUAAUGCUUGUGUUACCUGCCCUGUGAGGAAAGAACCCUACUACUGUUUUGUUAUUUGCUUGGUCUAUAGGCUUGCCAGAUUUGCAAAUUGCAAUCACCCUCAUCUGAAGGUGGAAAGUAAAAGGGCAGUUAUUGGUGAUAUUUAGCUUGCUUUGCUUCAGAUAAGAGGCUGAGAAAGGGGACUACGAUGAGAAUGGCAACAAAUCUUUAACCCGGAAAUUAAAUUGAUCAGCAAUAAUUUUUUUUUAUCUCACAAGUUUUGACACUUCCUUUCCAGCAGACAAGUUAUUUAUUGUUCAAUUUCUCACUUUUGCAUUUCACACUUAAUGUACAAUUA
rnacentral:misc_RNA from 1 species